GAUGAACGCUGGCGGCAUGCCUAAUACAUGCAAGUCGAGCGCAGGAAGCUGACGGAACUCUUCGGAGGGAAGGCAGUGGAAUGAGCGGCGGACGGGUGAGUAACACGUAAGGAACCUGCCUCAAGGAUUGGGAUAACUCCGAGAAAUCGGAGCUAAUACCGGAUAGUUCAACGGACCGCAUGGUCCGCUGAUGAAAGGCGCUCCGGCGUCACCUUGAGAUGGCCUUGCGGUGCAUUAGCUAGUUGGUGGGGUAACGGCCCACCAAGGCGACGAUGCAUAGCCGACCUGAGAGGGUGAUCGGCCACACUGGGACUGAGACACGGCCCAGACUCCUACGGGAGGCAGCAGUAGGGAAUCUUCCACAAUGGACGAAAGUCUGAUGGAGCAACGCCGCGUGAGUGAUGAAGGUUUUCGGAUCGUAAAACUCUGUUGUAAGGGAAGAACACGUACGAGAGGAAAUGCUCGUACCUUGACGGUACCUUACGAGAAAGCCACGGCUAACUACGUGCCAGCCGCCGCCGUAA
rnacentral:rRNA from 1 species